UACGUAGGGGGCUAGCGUUGUCCGGAAUCAUUGGGCGUAAAGCGCGUGUAGGCGGUCCGGUAAGUCCGCUGUGAAAGUCGGGGGCUCAACCCUCGAAUGCCGGUGGAUACUGUCGGGCUAGAGUGCGGAAGAGGCGAGUGGAAUUCCUGGUGUAGCGGUGAAAUGCGCAGAUAUCAGGAGGGACACCUAUUGCGAAGGCAGCUCGCUGGGACGUAACUGACGCUGAGACGCGAAAGCGUGGGGAGCAAACAGG
rnacentral:rRNA from 1 species